AUCUGGGCGGCGGAAUUCAGGAUGGCGGUCGCGUGCUCGACGCGCGCCCGUCGUUUGAUAUUUCCGUCGCCGCGUACAGACGUCGCGACCUGUUUGUCGUCGGUCCCUGUUCGAAGGAGUCGCGUUCGAGCUCGUUGUGGGUUGCGUGCUCGCACGUAUCACACGGCGAAGGCGCGAUCUUCUGGCUGACGACGGACAGUAUGUAACGGUGUCCGAUGCCGCUGUCUCGUACACGCGGUCGUCGGUACCGGUCGGCGACGAAUUCUUCGGGCCUCUUUCCGACCCGUCUUGAAACACGGACCAAGGAGUCUAACAUGCGCGCGAGUCGCGGGGUGUCGAGCGUACCACGGUGCGCUCGUUACGUUGCGAAACCCGUACAUGUAUAAAAGGCGUAAUGAAAGUGAAUGGGGAAGAUGGUGUUGCCGAGUUCACGUUCCGCGAUCGUCGGUAUCGCGGCCGGACACCCGCAUUCCCGGGGCGUCUCAACGGCCCGUCGCGGACGCGGACUGUCGGCUCUCGGGUCGGCUGUCGGUCUGCGACGAACCGA
rnacentral:rRNA from 1 species